rnacentral:rRNA from 1 species
GACGAACGCUGGCGGCGUGCUUAACACAUGCAAGUCGAACGGAAAGGCCCUGCUUUUUGGGGUUGCUCGAGUGGCGAACGGGUGAGUAACACGUGAGUAACCUGCCCUUGACUUUGGGAUAACUUCAGGAAACUGGGGCUAAUACCUGAUAGGAGCUCCUGCUGCAUGGUGGGGGUUGGAAAGUUUCGGCGGUUGGGGAUGGACUCGCGGGUUAUCAGCUUGUUGGUGGGGUAGUGGCUUACCAAGGCUUUGACGGGUAGCCGGCAUGGGAGGGUGAACGGCCCCAUUGGGACUGAGAUACGGACCAGAAUCCUACGGGACGCAGUAGUGGGGAAUAUUGCACAAUGGGCGGAAGCCUGAGGCAGCAACGCCGCGUGCGGGAUGACGGGUUUCGGGUUGUAAACCGCUUUGGACUGUGACGACGCGUGAGUGACGGUAAUGGGUAAAGAAGCACCGGCUAACUACGUG